rnacentral:rRNA from 1 species
CCGCCGGCGACCGGCGCACGGGUGAGUAACACGUAUGCAACCUGGCCGUGACAGAUGGAUAACCGGGAGAAAUCCCGCCUAAUACAACAUAAUGCCGGGAGGGGACAUCCCCUGCCGGCCAAAGGGGGCGACCCCGGUCACGGAUGGGCAUGCGGCGCAUUAGGUAGUUGGUGGGGCAACGGCCCACCAAGCCGACGAUGUCGUAGGGGUUCUGAGAGGAAGGUCCCCCACAUUGGAACUGAGACACGGUCCAAACUCCUACGGGAGGCAGCAG